UUGCUUAAGAGCUUCCAUAUUCUUUUUGUUUUUCAAAAUUUUAUCUUAUAAGUGUGAAAAGAUUCUUUUGUUUAACGCUAACUUUUUGAAAGCAUCUACGGCUUGUCUUUGUAUAUUUUCAAAAGAUUUUUGUAAUUGAGAAUAAGAUAAGUCAUGAAUAGAUUCAAGCUUAUAGUGACUUACAAUCCUCUUCUUCUUCUUGUUUUCAAUGUAGCAUAUCUUGGCCGAUUCGACACUUGAAUUCAAGCUUUCAUCAUUUGAAGAAUUACUUUCGCUCUCCCAAGCAACAUACACUCUUCUAGACUUGCUAGAUUUCUUGUGAUGACCUUUCUUUUUAUCUUUCUUGAUCAUAAGACACCCUAACCUAUAAUGAAUUGAUUUUCCAUAAUUGUAACAUGAACUUCUAGGUUUACCCUUCUUAUUUUCAUCUUCCUUUGAGGAGUUAUAUAACCUUAUAUAUUUGCUUUGGUUCUUGUCGGGGUACUUAUCUCCAUGUUUCCACAUGUACCUAUUAAACUUUUUGAUGAACAACCCCAUGUGAUCAUGUCUUCUUCAUUGGAAAUCUUGCAAUCUUCUGUUUCACAAUCAAUUUGCUCAUUGUAUGAUGGGUUUUGAGCUUGAAGUCUAUAUAGAAAUAGAUUUCUUCUCUACCUCCUUGUAUUUACAUUUCUCCAUCUUUACCUUCUUCUCAUGUUCUAUUUCAUGUUUUUCCAAGCAAGUGAGUUCUUGCUCAUGUUCUUCCAAUUUUCCAAACAAAGUAGUGAGAUCAAAUGUUUUAAGAUCAUUUGACUCUUUAAUUGCGGUGACCUUGGGUUUUCAUUCCGUAUUAAGACACCUCAAAAAUUUAUUAGUAGUAAUAUCAUAGGAAAUAGGCUUACCUAGAGCACUCAAUUGGUUUAUAAGAUGUGUGAACCUCUUUUGCAUGUCGGCAAUGGAUUCACCAUGCUUCAUACUAAAGAGCUUAAAAUAUUGAUUCAAUGUAUUUAUCCUAGCUAGUUUUACCUUAUUAGUUUCCUUAUGGGAAACUUCUAAUGCAUCCCACAUAGCUUUGGCGGUUUCAUAAUGGGAAACAUGAUAAAAUUCAUCAACAUCGAAUGCAGAUAUGAGAAUGUUUUGUGUUUUCCAACCGUAUGACCAUAAUUUCUUAUCAUUAUCAUUCCAUUGAUUUUAUGGUUUUGGUACAACGACUCAUUUACCAUUGGUCAUUGUAAUUUCAUUAGGACCAUUGAUGAUGAUGUCCCAUACACCUUUAUCAACCGAGUUGAUAUGGAUACACAUAUAAGCUUUCCAAUAGCCACAAUUUUUGCCGGUGAAAAUGGGUGCUAUAUUAUACACCCUUUUAGGUUUGGUAGCCAUUAUCUAAUAAGUAAAAUAUUAAGCACGAAAUUAAUCGGAGCUCGUGAUACCACUUGUUAGACGAUAGACUUAGAUCUAUAGGGGGUGAAUAGAUUGCAAGUUAAAAACUUUGACAUAAAAAUAGUUUUGAAAAAUUUAUGGCAAGCGGAAGUAUCCCAUAUCAAAAUCGUCUAACCGAACCCGCUAUCAAAAUGCUUGGAUAUGCGUAAUUGUAAUCACGGUAUGAUAAUGAAUCACAAAUUAACCAAACACGAUUAGUCACAACCAGUUGAGCACAAAGCAACAAAGAUAGACUACUUCUAGUGAAUAUUCACACAAAAAAAUCAAUUGAAACAAUUUAUGAAACAUCUUGUGUACAAUCGAUAUUGUUUGAAAAUUUAUAUGGUAUUGUUGACCUUAAAACCCAAUCACAACCUAAGUAAUUGUGAUCACAAUAACACCAAUUUCAAAAUUUGAUAAAAAAUAUUAUCCAAACAAAUUGAUCGCAUGAUCAAUGAAAUUAACAAUUUGCAAAUCAAAAUAAAAGAUAUAUAUAUAUAUAUAUAUAUAUGUUAAAAGAAAAUUUUCUAUUAUGAAAAUACUAGCUAGAAUUUUUUUUUUGAAAAAUACUAGCUCUCAAAAUUAUAGGGGCACUACAAAGUCAAAAUUAAUAAAUGAAUGUAAUUUCCCUUAAAUAAAAUAUAGAGUAGAAUAAAAUAUUAAUUUCCCUAAAAUAAAAUAAAUUAAUAUAUCAAUAAUUUUAGCAACUAAAGAGUCUAAUUAUGGCACUAAUUAAAGUAAUGAUAUAGGGAAUAUGAAUCAUUGAAAAGUCAGAUUUCUAACUCUUUAUUAAGACUCAAAAGUCAUAAAACUUUACUCUAGUUUAUGAAUCUGUGUUCUUUCUAAUUCUUAAAUCUCAAUCUAAUUCUAACAUUUUCAUCUCUCUCGAAAAUUAUAAGUGUCGACUGUCAAUUCAACAAGAAAAUUUAAAAAACAUAAGUGUCUAAAGUUAGUGCUAAACAAUCAAUGAAUCAAAAAAAAAGUUGAAGAUUAAAAAUCAACAUUAAGUACUAUUGUUUCAUCUAUUUGAUUCCUUAAAAUGUUUCCUAGAAAAUAAUUGUCUGAUCAUCUAAAACGAAAAAGAAAGAAACUAAUUGAAAUUGAUAAUAAAUCUCAAAAGGAUGUUAUUAGUAAUAUUUUUGGAAAACACCCUACAAUUUCUAUUUCAAAUGAUGCAAAUCUAGGUAAUUUGAACCUUGAAGCUGAGAGUUUAGAGAAUGAACAACUAAAUAAGAUUGUUGAAAAGCAAAAUAUUUUGGUUGAAAACAAUGAAAAAAUGAAGAUGAUGAUGAAGUUGGAAAUUUUGAUGAUGAAGGUUAUAAUGAUGAAAAUGAACAUAUCCCUAUUUUUGUUGAUGGACAACCUAACAAGUCCAUUCUAUUGAACAUUUAUGAUCCAAGAUUAUGGAAUAACCUUAGCAAUGACUUAAGAGAUGAAUUACUAGGAAAUGGUCCUAAAAGAGAUGUGUCAAUCGUGAAUGAUCCUAAAGAUACUUUUGGUAGGCAUUUCUAAUGGAGAAGAAUAAGAUAGGAUUUGGAUUGUAAUAAAUAGAAUGGAAUAUGUUCUUGAUAAAAACAUCAUUUGAUUAAUCCUCCUGAAACUGGUCAGGUGGGAUCAUAAUAGUUAAGGGAUUUUAGUGUUUUAGUUGUUUUUAGGGGAGGCAAGGAGGGGAGUCAUUGUUGGGUUGUCAAUGUUUUUUCAUCUCUCUUCUCGUUUCUAUUAUUCAUCGUCCUCCUUCAUUGUUUGAUCUUAAUGACCUAUUUAUAUCGCAGACUUUGCCCUUAUGGAUACCAAAGAGACGUGAUUUUAAUAGGUUUUAGUAACCAUUAAUAAUUUAUAACAAAUUCAAUCAUUAACUAUUUUAUAAUAGAUUAAGCCAAUGAUUGUUCAAGGGAUAUCAUAAUGCUCCGACUUGAACGAUCCUUUUAGAGCCCGAUAAAUUGAGUUCAGGGUAUGCACAAAACUUUCUACCUGACCUCAUAAAAAUCUUGGGAUGUACAUAAGUCCCCAAAGCACGAGCGGGACCUGUAAGGUUGAAGUGUUAUGAGUUUAUUCUGGAUCAUGUAAACUUGUCAUAAUCGUAUUUUAAUAUAGUAAAACUCCUUUUAAGUUUGUGGUAUUGAGGAUGGAUCAAUUCUUUACGCAUACUAGAAAUAUUUACGAUUUUGAUGAAGGAGUUGGAGAACCCUGGUGGAUUCGUGAUGUAGAAUAAUUAGAGAGCCCUGGUGGGAUCUCGAUCUGUUUGAAGUCAUAGAACUCGGUGGAUUCUAGACAUAGAGAAGUCGGAGAUCCCAGGUGGGAUCUCGACUUGUUGGCAUCGUAGAACCCAAUUGGUGCUAGACAUAGAGAAGUCGUAGAGCCCCAUUGAGAUUUUAUCCUGUUAGCAUCAUAGAACCUAGUAGGUUCUAAACAUAGAGAAGUCGUAGAGCCCUAGUGGGAUCUCGAACUGUUAGCAUUGUAUAACUCAUUAGGUUUUAUACAUAGAGAAGUCAGGGAGCCCUAAUGGGAUCUCGAACUAUUGGCAUCGUAGAACCCAGUAGGCUCUAGAUAUAAAGAAGUUUGAGAGCCCUAGUGGGAUCUCGACCUAAUGGUGGGGGUGUACAUGGGUCGGUUUGGGUUGAAUUUAGCUAAAAUCAUGGCUCAACCCAUACAGGGUACACUGGUUUUGAUGAGAUAGAAUAACCAUCCACAACAUCAUUGGGUCGGAUUGGGAAAAACCACAAAUUUGUAGGGUUGGAUUGGAUUAAGUGGUGGAUUAUCCAUUUUUUCAUUUUUUCUUCCUCAUAUAAUUAUAAGUGAUUUGUCACAUUUUUUCUUAAUAAUAAUUUAACCUAUUAUCAUUAUUUUUUUAAACAUCAAAUGUUUAAAUGCACAAUAAAAUUCAUCACAAAUAUAUUUACAAAAACCAAAGUUACAUUACAACGAUACCUAGAAUUCAUAAAAUACUUACAACUUACAAGAAUAAACAUCAAAAUAAUCAAAGUGCAUCAUCUUAAAUAAUUUAAAAUAAUUACUUAUAAAAUAAAGGUUGUUCAAAAGGUUGUAAUUGAAGUAACCGAGAUUAAAGACAUUAAAGUCAUCACUCAUCAAAUUAUAAAAAACAGCUAAAAAACAAUUAUCCAAUAACCCAUGGGUUUUGUAGGUAACCCAAUUAUUUAGAAUGUUUUUUCAUUUUUGAAAACCGUGUUCACCCAAUGACCCGACUCAACCAUUUUUUUUUUGGGAAACAUUUUGUUGGGUUUGUUGGGGGGGGGGGGUCGGUUUGGGUGUGUUUUACUGGGUUUGUUGGGUUUACCUAACCCAUGUACACCCUACAUGUUGGCUUCGUAGAACCGAGUAGGUUCUAGACAUAGAGAAGUUGGAGAGACCCAGUGGAAUCUCGACUUGUUGGAAUCGAAGAACCCAAUAGGUUAUAGACAUAAAGAAGUUGGAGAGCCCUAGUGGGAUCUCGACCUGUUGGCUUCAUAGAACUCAGUAGGUUGUAGACAUAGAGAAGUCAAAGAGCCCUAGUGGGAUCUCGACCUGUUGGUGUCAUAAAACCUGGUAGGUCCUAGACAUAGAGAAGUCAAAGAGCCUCAGUGGUAUCUUGACCAGUUGGCUUCAUAGAAAUCGGUAGGUUCUAGACAUAGAGAAGUCGGAGAGCUCUAAUGGGCUCUCGACCUGUUGUAGUUCCGUUUUAACUAUGCCAAUGCAUGAACUUGUUAUUAGGAUUGUAAUAAUUCAUGUGGGUUUUUGAUUAUCAGUAGUAACCAAAUCCUUAUACGUACAUAGGUUGGCAAAUCUCGAGUAAUUCUUAUUUCAUUCUUUAGAGGACCCCACUAUGUCAUGAUCCGAUCCCUGAAGAAUCUUUGAUGUUAUUAAAGUUAUAGUUUGCUCUCAUCGGGACAUUUGACUCGAAAUCAUUUUAUUAUUAGUCAUCCUUUGAGGAUGCAUCUUAUAAUGUUUUUUGACUAGGUCCUUUUAAAUAGGUCAGAGAUUUUAAAUAAAUUAACCGACUUGCCAGAGGUUUCAAUUAACUUUAACUUUUGGUUUGGUCAGAGGUUUCAAUUUACUUGGACUUUAAAUUUGGUCAGAGGUUUUAAUUAACAUAACCCGGUCAGAGAUUUCAAUUUACUUGGUCGAUUUGCCAGAAGUUUCAAUUUACUCGGACUUUAAAUUUGGUCAGAGGUUUUAAUUAACAUAACCUAGUCAGAGGUUUCAAUUUAGCUGGCCUAUUUGCCAGAGGUUUCAAUUUACUUGGACUUUAAAUUUGGUUAGAGAUUUUAAUUAACAUAACCCGGUCAGAGGUUUCAAUUUACUUGACCAAUUUUCCAGAGGUUUCAAUUUACUUUGACUUUAAAUUUGGUCAGAGGUUUUAAUUAACAUAACUCAGCCAUGGGUUUCAAUUUACUUGACCAAUUUGUCAGAGGUUUCAAUUUACUUGGACUUUAAAUUUGGUCAGAGGUUUUAAUUAACAUAACCCGGUCAUAGGUUUCAAUUUACUUGACCGAUUUUCCAGAGGUUUCAAUUUACUUUGACUUUAAAUUUGGUCAGAGGUUUUAAUUAACAUAACUCAGUCAGAGGUUUCAAUUUACUUGACCGAUUUGUCAAAGGUUUCAAUUUACUUGGACUUUAAAUUUGGUCAGAGGUUUUAAUUAACAUAACCUGAUCAGAAGUUUCAAUUUACUUAGCCGAUUUUCUAGAGGUAUAUUAACUUGGAUUUUGCUUAAGGUCAAAGGUAUGUUAACUUGACCGGGCCAGAGGUAUGUUAACUUAGUUGAUUCCCUCCCUCCCCUGUUGAGGCUUCAUCAUUCUUGGUUAUUGCUUUCAUUGGAGAAUAAGUCUCGAUCCGGGCUUUGUAUCUCCAAUUUGUCCUCUAUGACUUUUGAUUUAUUAUUUGGUGUGACAUGUUGGUUUCUUUUUAACAUAUUGUACAAUGUCUUCUUUCAGACUCUUUGGUAGGACAUAGGUUCUUCCGACAACCAUCUGAAAUAACUUUACGAGUUAGAAAAAAAAGAGAUGCCUCUCGCCCGUGCAGGAGAAAUGAGCAACACCCAUUACCUAAAGAAAAUUCUAAAUGGGUCCUUAAUUACAUACGACAUAAAUAUUUGACCCGACUUUUCCAACAAUAAAUUAAAACACAAAUUUAUAUUUGAUCGGUCGUCUGACUUUGUCGGUGAUCUCACAAAGCCAAUGUUAGGAUUUUGCCUAUUGUGUCGGGAAAAUUUCUUAGUUUUUGUUGAAUAAUGAUUUGUGUUCUCGGUCUUGAGCUCUUUUAGCACCAUUACAAAGCAGAUGAGCUCAUAAGGCAACAAGAAAUCAACAUUACAUCAACUUUUCCAUCAUAAGCUCUUUGUACACACCUUUGGACUAAUAAAUCAUGUCUUUAUAUUUGUUUUACCCUAAGGAAACAACACAUGAAUAAUCAAUAUGUAUAGAAUGAUUUAUCGUCGUAUACCUGCAUAUUUGUCACAGAAAAAUAAAGCUUUAUGAUACAAUAAAUUUUGUACCAACAACUAGGUAGUAAAGAACAACAAACAAUUGCCAACAAAUUUCAGAAAACGUCAAACCUCUUAAUGGAAUCAUACACCAAUGUGUGUCGAGUGUCAAAUAAAGAUGCCUUUAGGGUAGAGGUAAAUGGUAGCUUGUAAUAACUUCAAUAGAUCACAGACAGAAGAUUACGUAUUACGAGUUUCAACUUCGUUUUCUCACUCGGUUCUUACGUGACUAAGCAUAACAAUUGUUUUGUUUAUUUUAUAUGGGUAUUUGGUAAUGUGUAAUACAAAUUGAGGAAACAAAGUAUUUUCUCUCGUUAUCUCAGAUUGAUUUAAGAAGAAGCAAAACAUUACCUGAACUACUAUGAAUCAUAAGGAUUACUAAUAUAAAUUACUGAUGACAAUAAUUUUUCUUAAGUCUCGAAUGAAUAAUGUAUGCACUAGAAGGCUAAAGCUAUUAAAAUAUCAAAGGGGUUUAUUGGUCAUCAGAAUGAGGAAGCAAACCAGAUUUUUCUUAUAGCCAAAGCAUGAAGUUAGUGUCCUUCCAGUAUCGCACAACUUUGUUACUAAGAACUUUCUUUUUGGACAAGCUAUUUGCAACUAACAAGUAUUUCUUCAUAAUAUUUGCAUGAUGCAAAACAUAACCAUUACAUUAGCCUACACAUGGAGACCAAUUUUUCCAAGAUACACUCAAACAUUACUAGUUAACCUUAUCUCAAAAUAUUGAUAUUGAUUAGAAAACACAUCUUCAAAUGUGAUAGACAAAAAACAACAAACAAUCGUGAUAAGCUAAUGUAAUGUGUUAAGAUCACUUAUCUUUCAAGGACAAAGUCGAAGUUGCUAUCCGACUCUGUUUACCUCAAUUCAGGCGUGAUCUGCAAGAAGGACAGGCGAGCAAGUUGACUGUGUUUUUACAUAUUGAGCAUCAAUAUUAACUAGAAUUGAAUCUCUAUGAGCAAGGUGACAAAACGAAGGAUCUUUGGAGUAAUUUUAGCUUAUACACUUGCAGGAAGGAAAAUAUGCUACAUUGACAUUAUCCAUCGUACACUACCAGUUUCUCGUCUUUAGAGUAUGCCUUUAGCUCAAACACAUUUGCAGCAUAAUUCUACUGGCUUACCCAAAUUGUUGUGACAAUGUUUUGCAGUUUAAUAGGUCAUGCAAAAGGCCUAUCAAUAUAUUAUAUUUUGCAAAAUACUUAACAACACCUCAUUAAAGUACGCUUAUGUUUAUUACAAAGGUCUAGUCAAUUUUACAAUGCAUAUUCGACUCGUAUGAUUAUCUAUUCCUUCAAUACAUUGGGAAUCAUAUAACUAUUCGAUUUAACGUGAAAUUUGGGCGAGCUAUGUUUAUGGUAGAGUGAGUCGUUAAAAUAAGGGCGCUUGCCUACAAGAUUGGAUUCAACACAUAGAGAUCAAUCUCAGAAUCAAUUUUCGACAUUAAGUUCUAAGUAAUCACAAAUAUCAGAACCAAAUAGAAUGGAACUAAGAAACUUAUCUACAUAGAAGUUAUCGCCACCAACAAUGUUGUCCGGUAGAACUCCGCAUCACAUCAUGUUGCCGAAAGAACCAUAAAGAUGUGUGACCGAAUCAAGAAUUUCCAUAUUCGCUUCAACUUGGUUGUCUAUUCCUUCACCUCCGAAAAGGUAUUGGUGUUGACAAAUAACACUCAUUGUCUGAGCUCUUUACAAAACAAUACCAUUUCUUGGAUAGUUGCAAAAACCUUGCAAGGGAUGGCAUAUGAGAUACAUUACGGACCGAGCACAUAGUCGACGCUCUCAAAGUCUGAUAGACAUUGCUGUUGGCGAGUUUGUUACUCUAAAUGUUAAAUUAGUGGAGUUGGCAGUGUUCUAUUGUAAGGGUCACCAAAAAUAUGGAGUUGGUGGGGUUACAGUUCUAUCGCGUGUCUUUUCAAGCCAUGAGGGUGAAAUAGAAAUGGUAUGUGGAUGGUCUUAGAAACCUAGAGUUGUCACCACCAUUGUUAACAACCCUCUCAUUAGAGAUUUUAGGUGUUUGGUUAGAAUAGUUUUAUCGGGCCCCACGGUGGGCGCCAAAUGUUCUUGCUAAAAAUAUCAUUUGAUUUGGUUAAUCCCCUUGAGGCUAGUCAGAUAGGAUCACAAUAGUUAAGAAAUUUUAGUGUUUUAGACAUUUUUAAGGGAGGCAAGGAGGAGAGCCAUUGUUGGGUUGUUAAGGUCUUUUCAUUUCUCUUCCUUUUUCUGUUAUUCAUCCUCCUCCUUCAUUGUUUGGUCUCAAAGACCUAUUUGUAUUGCAAGCCUUGCCCUUAUGGAUACUGAAGAUGCAUGAUUUUAAUAGGUUUUAGUAACCAUUAAUAAUCUGUAACAAAUUCAAUCAACCAUUCUGUAACGAAUUCGGUCAUUGAUUAUUUCAGAAAUAUCAUAACAAGUUCGACUUGAACAAUUUUUUCAGAAUCCGAUAAAUUGAAUUCAGGAUGUACACGGAAUUCGCUGUCCGACCUCAUAAAAAUCACGAGAUAUAAAGAAUCUUUAAAAUCACAUGGCAAUAAAAUUGGGGGAAAAGGGAGGCGGGAAAAGUAACAAAAGUUGAGAAAUGAGAAUAUGAUAGAAACUCCUUUGGCUCUAAGAUAGUCAGGCCCACUACUAGUCAGGGGUUCUAGAAAAUUAGAUCUACAAAUGGUAUAGUUCCAGCUGUGUAGAGUAACAGAAUAUUCUAGAACACUUAAAACCCUAACUAUAUAAGCUAACUUCUACUGUACUUCGUUUUCCUCUUCACUUCUUCUUAGAUCUGUGUCUCAUUUAUUUUCCGAUUAGCCAAAAGGUAAAAUCCAAUGGCCGGAAAAGGAGAGGGACCGGCUAUCGGAAUCGAUCUCGGAACCACCUACUCCUGUGUAGGAGUAUGGCAACAUGAUAGAGUUGAAAUCAUUGCCAACGACCAAGGUAACAGAACUACACCGUCUUAUGUCGCUUUCACUGACUCCGAGCGUCUCAUCGGUGAUGCCGCUAAGAACCAGGUCGCCAUGAAUCCUAUCAACACCGUCUUCGGUUAGUUAGUUUACUCUCUGCUAGAUCUAUUCAGUAAUUUGUUCAUUUUUCUAUUCUAUUUAUCAGUUUGAUAAUUUUGCGGUUCACGGUGUACUGAAUAGUUAAUUUAUAGUGCGUUGAAUCAAUUAUACGUUUGUAUGUAUGCUUUAUGAUGCUUAUUUUGAGCCGAUUUGGUGUGAUUUAUAAAUUCACUGUACAUGAUGCAUUUUAUUGAGUUGUUAUGAUUCAGUUUGAGUUGUGACGCAGAGAUUUUCAAAUUCAAUCAACAUGAUGCCACUUUUUGUAUUGCUAUGGGCUACCAAAUUGUUUAUAGUAUUAUAACAUGUGAAACAUAAUUUCGUAUAUACAUGACAUGUCUUUUUGUGUUGCUAUGAUUCUGUUUAAUUGUGACCAUGGAUUUUCAAUUCAAUGAACAUGAUUCCUCUUUUGCAUUGCUAUCAUUCAAUCUAGAUGUGUAGUCUUACUGAAAUGUUUGGAUUAAACUAUUAUACUACAUGAUGUGCCUACAAUGCAUUGUGUAUAGUUGAUGAUAUGAUUGGAUUUGUUUUAUACUGAAUGGUGUGUCAUAUUUAUAUUAACAUAGAUUGUUAAUGUGAUACGCUAUGAAAUAUGAAUAUUUAAUUUGAUAUUUUCUAAGUUCCAAUUGCUGUAUAAUACUGUUAUCUUGUGUUUUCUAUAUAUAUGUUUUAUAUGCUGACUAACUCAAAUUAGAUGAGAUGUUGAGUUUGUGUUGCUAAGAUAAUUUUCACUUUUACAGAUGCAAAGAGGUUGAUUGGUCGUAGAGUCUCUGAUGCAUCUGUUCAGAGUGACAUGAAGUUGUGGCCUUUUAAGAUCAUUGCUGGUCCUGCUGAGAAGCCAAUGAUUGUUGUUAACUACAAGGGUGAAGAUAAGCAAUUUGCUGCUGAAGAGAUCUCUUCAAUGGUUCUGAUGAAGAUGCGUGAGAUUGCUGAAGCUUACCUUGGCUCUGCAAUUAAGAACGCCGUUGUCACUGUCCCUGCUUACUUUAAUGAUUCUCAGCGUCAAGCUACCAAGGAUGCUGGUGUUAUUGCUGGUCUUAAUGUCAUGCGAAUCAUCAAUGAGCCCACUGCUGCUGCCAUUGCAUAUGGGCUAGACAAGAAAGCAACAAGUGUUGGUGAAAAGAAUGUCUUGAUUUUUGACCUUGGUGGUGGUACUUUUGAUGUCUCUUUGCUUACUAUUGAAGAGGGUAUCUUUGAGGUGAAAGCCACAGCUGGAGACACGCCAUCCUGGAGUGAGGAUUUGAUAACAGACAUGUGAACCACUUUGUUCAAGAGUUCAAGAGAAAGAACAAGAAGGACAUUAGUGGCAACCCAGGGCACUCAGGCGAUUGAGGACUGCAUGUGAGAGGCGAAGAGAACUCUUUCAUCUACUGCCCAGACUACCAUUGAAAUGACUCUCUAUUUGAGGAAUUGAUUUCUACUCCCCUAUUACUCGUGCCAGAUUUGAGGAGCUCACAUGGAUCUCUUUAGGAAAUGUAUGGAACCAGUUGAGAAAUGUUUGAGAGAUCCAAAAUGGACAAAAAAAGCAUCCAUGAUGUUGUUCUUGUUGGUGGUUCUACUAGAAUUCCAAAGGUUCAACAACUUUUGCAGGAUUUCUUUAAUGGAAAGGAGCUAUGCAAAAGCAUUAAUCCUGAUGAGGCUGUUGCAUAUGGAGCUGCUGUCCAGGCUGCAAUUUUGAGUGGUGAGGGGAAUGAGAAGGUGCAGGAUCUUCUCCUUCUUGAUGUUACCCCUCUCUCUCUUGGUUUGGAGACUGCUGGAGGUGUGAUGACUGUUCUGAUCCAAAGGAAUACCACCAUUCCAACAAAGAAAGAACAGGUUUUCUCAACCUAUUCUGACAACCAGCCUGGUGUCUUGAUCCAAGUCUUUGAAGGAGAGAGAACAAGGACUAGGGAUAACAAUUUGUUGGGCAAGUUUGAACUUUCUGGUAUUCCUCCUGCUCCCAGAGGUGUUCCCCAAAUUACCGUGUGCUUUGACAUUGAUGCCAAUGGUAUAUUGAAUGUCUCUGCUGAAGACAAGACUACCGGGCAGAAGAACAAGAUCACCAUCACAAAUGACAAGGGUAGGCUUUCAAAGGAUGAUAUUGAGAAGAUGGUUCAGGAGGCUGAGAAAUACAUGGUAUAUUGAAUGUCUCUGCUGAAGACAAGACUACCGGGCAGAAGAACAAGAUCACCAUCACAAAUGACAAGGGUAGGCUUUCAAAGGAUGAUAUUGAGAAGAUGGUUCAGGAGGCUGAGAAAUACAAGUCUGAGGAUGAAGAGCAUAAGAAGAAGGUUGAGGCCAAGAAUGCAUUAGAAAACUAUGCAUACAACAUGAGGAACACCAUUAAGGAUGAUAAGAUUGCAGGUAAACUUGAUCCAGCUGACAAAAAGAAGAUCGAGGAUGCCAUUGAACAGGCUAUCCAGUGGCUUGACAGCAACCAGCUUGCUGAGGCCGAUGAAUUUGAGGACAAGAUGAAGGAACUUGAAGGCCUCUGCAACCCUAUCAUUGCCAAGAUGUAUCAAGGUGGUGCAGGUCCAGAGGGUGCUGCUCCAACUGAUGAAGAAUAUGCUCCUUCUGGUGGAAGUGGUGCUGGUCCCAAGAUUGAGGAAGUCGACUAAAUGUAGUUGCUUUUUAUUUCUUAUCUAUGGUUUAUUUUUCAUGUUGUAUUUUUGAAUUGGUGUAUUCAUUGAUGGAUUUAGCCAGAGUGCUAAUUUUUAGUGUAUGUCAUAACAUUCGUUUGGUACUGUUAAGCCCCCAUUUUGUAGUUUUUAUUCAUUGUAAGAAUGAUACUUUUAUAUUUAUACAAUGUUUUUCAGUUAUUUUUGUGAUUUCGUA
rnacentral:lncRNA from 1 species